GGGCUCGUAGCUCAGUGGUUAGAGCGCUCCGUUCACAUCGGAGAGGUCGGUCGUUCGAAUCGACUCGAGCCCA
rnacentral:tRNA from 4 species